rnacentral:sRNA from 1 species
GCCGGGUGUGGUGGCGCACCCCUGUAAUCCCAGCAGCUUGGGAGGCUGAGGCAGGAGGAUUUCAAGUUCAAAGCCAGCCUCAGCAACAGUGAGGCACUAAGCACGUCAGUGAGACCCUGUCUCUA